rnacentral:rRNA from 1 species
GACGAACGCUGGCGGCGUGCUUAACACAUGCAAGUCGAACGAAGUGGCGAACGGGUGAGUAACGCGUAAUCAACCUGCCCUUCAGAGGGGGACAACAGGUGGAAACGACUGCUAAUACCGCAUACUGAAGAAGGGGAUUGAGUCUGAUUAGAUAGUUGGCGGGGUAACGGCCCACCAAGGAGAUGAUCAGUAGCCGGUCUGAGGGGAUGAACGGCCACAUUGGGACUGAGACACGGCCCAGACGCCUACGGGAGGCAGCAGGGGGGAAACUUCCGAAAUGGACGAAAGUCUGACGGAGCAACGCCGCGUGAGUGAUGACGGCCUUCGGGUUGUAAAGCUCUGUUAAGCGGGACGCGGUACCGGAAUAGAAAGCCACGGCUAACUACGUGCCAGCAGCCGCGGUAAUUC